AUGUGAUUCAUGUGUUGGAAAUAAGGCAAUUAGUUUAAGUGGUCAAGGAAAUAGAUUGGCAAUUGUUAGAUGAUUAGCAAGGAAAAUGUAAGAACAAAGGUUGUAGCUUUUAAGAACGUAAAUGGAGACUAGUUCGAAUCGCCUCGAUACAAAAUAAUUAAAACAAAGAAGAGAUAAACGAGAUUGGAUCAAUCAAGAUAGCCAGAAACUAGAACGAUUAUUUUUCCGAUAGAGAAACUAAAUCUUCUAAUUAACAAUUUCUAACUUCGUCUCAUACAUAUAAUUUUAUUAUUAAAGUUUUCAAAAAAGACACAUUGCCUACUGUAAUUAAAUAAAAUCACAAAAGAAUCAAGCUCUCGACGAAUCCCUAAAAAAAGAUACGCCAGUUUAACACAUUGAGGAAGAACGCUCCUCAGUGGGGACAACCGAGGGGAAUGCAAUGUUAGAAGAGAGAGAAGGGAAGGAGGAGGGGGAGGGGGGGGAGGGAAGCACAGGCCUGCGAUUGUAAUACACGUGGCACAGCAGCAGUUAGCGAGAGAGACAGAUGCGAAAUUGAAAAGGAACGGAACGAAGAGGUGCAGAUUAUGCAGCGAAACUUGUUUAAUAAGCGAUAUCGAUAAAACUGUAAACAGAGAAAGGAAUUCGUUACCAUCAGUGAUAUAUUCGUGUGCACGUUGAACAGAUAUGAACCACAAUGGAACUCGUUUCGGUAUUUUAUCGCGUGAAAAAAAAUUCAAUAUCACCUCUGUUCGUGGUAUGAGCAAACAAUGAUAAAUUGGAAUACGUAAUUGAAUUUGGAGGAUGCAACUUUUCGUGUUUUUAUAUUUUCUAUCGUUGCUGCACGCAUUAAGUACAAAUCUAAUAUUAUCAUGUAUCUAAUAAAAAGAAGCAAUCAAAUUUUAAAGCCAAUCAGAAAUAUAAAUAAAUUAAUUAAAUCUACAGCGAAUAAAACGAAAUAUUGUAAUUUAAAAGAUCGUAAAGAUAAUUGUUUUUCAAGAGAAAUUAGGAAUGGAGGAAUAUCGUUCGGAAAAUUUGCCGAAAAAUAUUGGAGGAAAAACGCGUGGUGCGACAAGUGUUUCGUACACUUUGAAAUAAUCGUGUCGUCAUCGAGAACCCGGACUCGUUCCAGCCGACAGACGUUACUUACGUUAUUUACGAUUCGGAAAAAACCGGAAUGCAUGGUGUUCAACGCGAGUUGCAGCAAGGACGCGC